rnacentral:rRNA from 1 species
ACCGGGUUGAACGUACCUCUGGUGUACCUGUCGUCGUGCCAACGGCGCAGCAGGGUAGCUAUGUACGGACGGGAUAACCGCUGAAAGCAUCUAAGCGGGAAGCCUCCCUCGAGAUAAGAUUUCAUAGGACGGUCGGAGACCACGACCUUGAUAGAUCGGAUGUGGAAGUGCGGUAACGCAUGGAGCUAACCGAUACUAAUUGUCCUAUUCGCGCUUGA